CCUACGGGAGGCAGCAGUGGGGAAUAUUGGGCAAUGGGCGCAAGCCUGACCCAGCAACGCCGCGUGAAGGAAGAAGGCUUUCGGGUUGUAAACUUCUUUUCUCAGGGACGAAGCAAGUGACGGUACCUGAGGAAUAAGCCACGGCUAACUACGUGCCAGCAGCCGCGGGAAUACGUAGGUGGCAAGCGUUAUCCGGAUUUACUGGGUGUAAGGGGCGUGUAGGUGGGAAAGCAAGUCAGAUGUGAAAACUACGGGCUCAACCUGUGGCCUGCAUUUGAAACUGGUUUUCUUGAGUACUGGGGAGGCAGACGGAAUGCCUAGUGUAGCGGUGAAAUGCGUAGAUAUUAGGAGGAACACCAGUGGCGAAGGCGGCCUGCUGGACUGAAACUGACGUUGAGGCUCGAAAGCGUGGGGAGCAAACAGGAUUAGAUACCCCGGUAGUC
rnacentral:rRNA from 1 species